CAAUAGCGUAUAUUAAAGUUGUUGCGGUUAAAAAGCUCGUAGUUGGAUUUCUGCCGAGGACGUCCGGUCCGCCCUCUGGGUGAGUACAUGGCACGGCCUGGGCAUCUUCUUGGGGAACGUAUCUGCACUUGACUGUGUGGUGCGGUAUCCAGGACUUUUACUUUGAGGAAAUUAGAGUGUUUCAAGCAGGCACACGCCUUGAAUACAUUAGCAUGGAAUAAUAAGAUAGGACCUCGGUUCUAUUUUGUUGGUUUCUAGAGCUGAGGUAAUGAUUAAUAGGGAUAGUUGGGGGCAUUCGUAUUUAACUGUCAGAGGUGAAAUUCUUGGAUUUGUUAAAGACGGACUACUGCGGAAGCAUUUGCCAAGGAUGUUUUCAUUGA
rnacentral:rRNA from 1 species